rnacentral:rRNA from 1 species
CCAUGGCUCAGGAUGAACGCUGGCGGCGUGCCUAAUACAUGCAAGUCGAUCGCACUACUUCGGUAGUGAGAGGCGAACGGGUGAGUAACACGUAGGUAACAUAUCUAUAUGACGAGGAUAACGGUUGGAAACGACUGCUAAGACUGGAUAGGAGUAGAGGAGGCAUCUCUUUUACUUUAAAGGACUUUUUCGGAGUACGCGUAUGGAGUGACCUGCGGCGCAUUAGUUAGUUGGUGGGGUAGUGGCCUACCCAAGACGAUGAUGCGUAGCCGGACUGAGAGGUUGAACGGCCACAUUGGGACUGAGACACGGCCCAGACUCCUACGGGAGGCAGCAGUAGGGAAUUUUCGGCAAUGGGGGGAACCCUGACCGAAGCAACGCCGCGUGAAUGACGAAGUACUUCGGUAUGUAAAGUUCUUUUAUUAAGGAAGAAAGUGCAGUGGAAAAACUGUAUAGACGGUACUUAUUGAAUAAGCCCCGGCUAACUACGUGCCAGCCGCCGC